rnacentral:tRNA from 1 species
GCCGCGGUAGCCCAAUCGGUAGAGGCACUGCAAUCAGAGUGCAGAGAGUGCGGGUUCGACUCCCGCUCGCGGCA